rnacentral:rRNA from 1 species
AUGGCUCAUUAAAACAGUUAUAGUUUAUUUGAUGGUCAAAUUUMCAUGGGAUACCCGCUGGUAAUUCUUAUAGACGUAGUAAACUGCGUGUUCAGCCCGACUUUUUGGRAGGGGGGUUUUUUUUAUAUAACCAGACCAUAUUCCUCUGGUCUAUUGUGGUGACUCAUGAUAACUGAUCSAAUCGCACGGCCUUUGCCGCGAUAAAUCAYUCACGUUUCUGCCCCAUCMGCUUUCMAUGGGRRUGUAUUGGACUACCAUGGCUUUUACAGGUAACGGAGGAUNAUGGUUCGAUUCCSGAGAGGGAGCCUGAGAAACNGCUACCACAUCUAAGGAAGGCAGCAGGCGCGUAAAUUACNCNNUCCUGACUCAGGGAGGUAGUGACAAGAAAUAGCGNUACCGAGGACCCUUGUGGCUUCUGGAUUGCAAUGAGCCGAAUUUACACCCCUUAUCAAAAGUCGCAUU